GAUGAACGCUGGCGGCGUGCCUAAUACAUGCAAGUCGAGCGAACAGACGAGGAGCUUGCUCCUCUGACGUUAGCGGCGGACGGGUGAGUAACACGUGGAUAACCUACCUAUAAGACUGGGAUAACUUCGGGAAACCGGAGCUAAUACCGGAUAAUAUAUUGAACCGCAUGGUUCAAUAGUGAAAGACGGUUUUGCUGUCACUUAUAGAUGGAUCCGCGCCGCAUUAGCUAGUUGGUAAGGUAACGGCUUACCAAGGCAACGAUGCGUAGCCGACCUGAGAGGGUGAUAGGCCACACUGGAACUGAGAAACGGUCCAGACUCCUACGGGAGGCAGCAGUAGGGAAUCUUCCGCAAUGGGCGAAAGCCUGACGGAGCAACGCCGCGUGAGUGAUGAAGGUCUUCGGAUCGUAAAACUCUGUUAUUAGGGAAGAACAAAUGUGUAAGUAACUAUGCACGUCUUGACGGUACCUAAUCAGAAAGCCACGGCUAACUACGUG
rnacentral:rRNA from 1 species